UGAGGAAUUUUGGACAAUGGGGGAAACCCUGAUCCAGCCAUGCCGCGUGAGUGAUGAAGGCCUUCGGGUUGUAAAGCUCUUUCAGAUGUGAAGAUGAUGACGGUAGCAUCAGAAGAAGCUCCGGCUAACUCCGUGCCAGCAGCCGCGGUAAUACGGAGGGAGCGAGCGUUGUUCGGAAUUACUGGGCGUAAAGCGUAUGUAGGCGGCUUCAUAAGUCAGGUGUGAAAUCCCAGGGCCUAACCCUGGAACUGCACUUGAGACUGUGAGGCUCGAGUAUCGGAGAGGUUGGCGGAAUUCCUAGUGUAGAGGUGAAAUUCGCAGAUAUUAGGAGGAACACCGAUGGCGUAAGCAGCCAACUGGACGAUUACUGACGCUGAGAUACGAAAGCAUGGGGAGCAAACAG
rnacentral:rRNA from 1 species